rnacentral:rRNA from 1 species
AUUGAACGCUGGCGGCAGGCCUAACACAUGCAAGUCGAGCGGAGCGGCGGACGGGUGCGUAAUGCCUAGGAAUCUGCCUGGUAGUGGGGGAUAACGUCCGGAAACGGGCGCUAAUACCGCAUACUAUCAGAUGAGCCUAGGUCGGAUUAGCUAGUUGGUGGGGUAAAGGCCUACCAAGUCGACGCUCCGUAACUGGUAUGAGAGGAUGAUCAGUCACACUGGAACUGGGACAUGGGCCAGACGCAUACGGGAGGCAGCGGUGGGUAAGUGGUGAAAGUGGGGGAGAGGCUGAUCCAGCAAGGCAGCGUGGGGGGAGAAGGGAUUGGGAUUGUAAAGCACUGGAAGUUGGGAGGCGUUGCCAACAGAAUAAGCACCGUCUAACUUCGUGACAGCAGCGGCGGUAAUAC